GUCGAGCCGGUGCUGCCGCGGCCACCGCCACCGCCCAGGGGCUCCGGGGCUGUGGGGAGCGGCUGAACUCAAUACCGCCUCCGCGCUGACUGGAAGGCACUGCGGCCGCGCCUGCCUGCCCCACCUCGUAAGGGCCUGUGACCUCACGAGGCCAGCCGCCGGGCGCUGCAUUCGAGCGGUGGGGCUCCUGUCCGUGCGCUUUCCUCCCGCAGCCCCGGCCGGGAUUCCGCCCUCCGUCCUUGCCACCCGCUCGCCACUCUUCCCUAAUCGCUGUUCAUUCUCCGGUGCGCUGUCCCGCCAUGGUCUGACCCCACUUCAAUCUUACCUUCGGUCCGUCCUUUGAACACCCCGACCCCCGACCCCUUUCUUCCAAAACAUUCCAUCCUUCUUGGCUUCUGCUACUCAAUAAUGGACAGCAGCUCGAAGGCCAUGUGUCCCACGGCUUUGCUGAAAUUUGUCUCGGGUUGCCUUUAAGGAGACUGUCGUUUCCUUUUGAAAGAGAUACUUUGGUUGGUUUGGUUUUCUUCUGUGUGUUUGUUUUUCCUAUGUAUUUAUCGUAUGCAGUUGGGCAAAAUACUUAACGCUCCCUGAGUCUCGAUUUUCUCAUUCUUCCAGGGUUGUGGGAAUUCAAAAAUAUAUACGUAGUGCUCAAUAAAUGUUACAAUAUUUAAUCCCUUCCGUGAUACUACUGUGUUCAUUUACAUCUUAAACCUUGCUUUGUAGGCAUUCUUUAAUAUUUUAUUUAGAUUUUUAUUAUUAUUAAAUAUAUGUACAAAUCAUAAUUGUAAAUAUUUAAUGGGGUACAAUGUUAUAUUUUAAUAUAUGUAUACAAUAUGGAACGACUAAGUCAAGCUUAACAUAUCCAUCACCUUGUUUAACGUUUUUUAUGGUGAGACAUUUGAAAUUUACUCUUAGCAGUUUUGAGAUAUACGAUAUAUUAUUAUUAGCUAUAGUCACCACACUAUGCAAUAGAUCUCAGAAACUUGCUGCUUUUGUCUGACUGAACCUUGUACCCUUUGAACAGCAUCUCCCCAUCCUGCAUCUCCUACCCGCCCCGUCCCUUUCCAGCCUCUAACAACUAUUCUACUGUCUACUUCUAUGAGUUUGACUUUUUAAGAUUCCACAUAUAAGUGAGAUCAUGUGGUAUGUGUCUUUCUGUGCCUGGCUUUUUUCACUUAGUAUGUCCUCCAAGUUGAUUCAUGUUGUCACAAAUGACAGAAAUUCUUUUUUAAGGCUGAAUAGUAUCCAUUGCAUAUGUUGAUUCAUGUUGUCACAAAUGACAGAAAUUCUUUUUUAAGGCUGAAUAGUAUCCAUUGCAUAUGUUUACUACAUUUUCUUUAUCCAUUCAUCCAUCGAUGGACACAGGUUGAUUCCAUUAUCUCAGCGAUUGUGCAUAAUGCUGAAAUGAACAUGGAAGUGCAAAUAAGUCUUUGAUAUACUGAUUUCAGUUACUCAAUAUAUGCCCAGAAAUAGCAUCGCUGGAUCAUAUGGUAGUUCUAUUUUUAAUUUUUUGGGAAACCUCCAUAUAGUUUUCCAUAAUGGCUGUAAUAACACUAACAGUGUAAAAGGUUUCUCCACAUCCUCAGCAACACAUUUUUUUCAUCAUUUUGAUAAUAGCAAUUCUUUUUUUUUUUUUUUUUUUUUUUUUUUGAGAUUGAGUCACUCUGUUGCCCAGGCUGGAGUGCAGUGGCACAAUCUCAAAUCACUGCAACCUCCAUUCCUGGGUUCAAGCAAUCUUCCUGCCUCAGCCUCCCAAGUAGCUGGGAUUACAAGCAUGUGCCACCACACUUGGCUAAUUUCUGUAUUUUUAGUAGAGAUGGCGUUUCACCAUGUUGGCCAGGGUGGUCUCAAACGCCUGACCCUCAAGUAAUCUGCCCACCUCAGCCUCCCAAAGUACUGAGAUUACAGGUGUGAGCCACCACACCCAGCUUAAUAGCCAUGCUAACAGGUGUGAGGUGAUAUUGUAAUCUUAUUUUGCAUUUCCCUAAUAAUAGUGAUUUUUUUUUUCGCAAACCUGUUGGCCAUUUGUAUGUCUUCUUUUAAGAAUGGCUGUGUCAGGCUGGGCAUGGUGGCUCACACCCAUAAUCUCAGCACUUUGGGAGGCCAAGGUGGGAGGACCGCUUGAGCCCAAGAAUCUGAGACCAGCCUGGGCAACAUAGUGAAGCCUCAUCUCUACAAAAAAAAAUUUUUUUUAAAAGUCUAUUCAGAUUAUUUGUCUAUUUUUAAAAUCAGGUUAUUUGCUUUCUUGCUACUGAGUUUCUUGUAUAUCUUGGAUAUUAACCUCUUGUCAGAUGUAUAAUUAGUAAAUAUUUUCUCCCAUUCAGCAGGUUGUCUCUUCACUCUGUUAACUGUUUCCUUUGAUGUGCAGAAGUUUUUAGUUUCAUGUAAUUCCAUGUGUUUAUUUUUUGUUUUCUCGCCUGUGUUCUUGAGGUCAUGUCCAAAAAAAUGCCCAGACCAAUGUAGUGGAGCUUUCCGCCUGUUUUCUUCUAGUGGCUUUCUUCUAUUUUUUCUUCUAGUAGCUUUCCCUCUAUGUUUUCUUCUAGUAGUUCCAGUCUUACAGGUAAGUCUUUAAUCCAUUUUGACUUUUGUAUACGGUGUGAGAUAAGGGUCCAAUUUCAUUUUUCUACACAUGGAUAUAUGGUUUCCCAACAGUUUUUAUCAAAGAGAUUCCUUUCCCCAUUGAGUGUUCUUGGCUCCUUAUCAAAAUUCAAUUGUCUGUAAAUUCUGGACUCUCUAGUAUGUUCUAUUGGCCAAUGCAUCUGUUUUUAUGGAAUACCAUGCUGUUUUGAUUACUGUAACUUUGUCGUUUAUUUUAAAGUCAGGGACUGUGAUGCCUUCAACUUUGUUUUUUUUUUGCUUUUUUUUUUUUGAGAUGGAUUCUGGCUCUGUCUCUCAGGCUGGAGUGCAGUGGCACAAUCUCGGCUCACUGCAACCUCCACCUCCUGGGUUCAAGUGAUUUUCCUGCCUUAGCCUCCCAAGUAGCUGGGACUAGAGGCGCGCACCACCACGCCUGGCUAAUUUUUUUGUAUUAUUAGUAGAGACGGGGUUUUUUUUUUACCAUGUUGGCCAGGCUGGUCUUGAACUCCUGAUCUCAUGAUCUGCCCGCCUCGGCCUCCCAAAGUACUGGGAUUACAGGCGUGAGCCACCACACCUGGCCCAACUUUGUUCUUUUUGCUCAAGAUUGCUUUGGUUAUUUGGGAUCUUUUACGGUUCCAUAUGAAUUUUAGGAUUUUUUUAUUUCCAUGAAAAAUAACUCUGGAAUUUUGAUAGGAAUUGCAUUGAAUCUAUAGAUCACUUUGAGUAGCAUGGGCAUUUUAAUUAUAUUAAUUAUUCCACUCCAAGAACAUGGGAUGUCUUUUCGUUUAUUUGUGUUUUUUCCAAUUUCUUUCAUCAGUGUUUUUUAGUUUUUAGUAUAAAGAUCUUUCACUUUCUUGGUUAAAUUUACACCUUUUUUGUUUCAGUUUUGGUUUUUGCUAAUAUAAGUAGAAUUAUUUUCUUAAUUUCUUUUUUGGAUUUGUUGUUGGCCUCUAGAAAUGCUGCUGAUUUUUGUGUGUUGACUGUGUACAGCAAUUUUACUGACUUUAUUAGUUCUAACAGUUUUUUGGUGGAGUCUUUUGGGUUUUCUAUAUAUAAGAUCAUAUUGUCAACAAAGAGAAAAUUCCAAUGCUUCCUUUCCU
rnacentral:lncRNA from 1 species